UCAAGUCUCGAACAAGCCUGUCUAGAAUUUGCUCGUUAAUCCAUUACAUUCAAUCACCAUAUAAUAUUGAUACUUUCAUAUACUAACUUGAACCAUAAAUAUAAAAAUCAAUACAAACUUUUUCCUUUUUAUUCGUAAGUAUAUGUAUUAAAAUCUAUAAUCUCCAAAUUAAUGCUUAUAUAAAAAUUUAAAAUUUGUUUACAACUUAAUAAAUAAAAUGCUACAACUUGACCUCUAACAGCGAAGCGACUCGGAAUAAAAUGCUAGGAGAUGCCUUUACCUAUUCACAGUGGACCGAAUACGUCACUGACUACAUGCUAN
rnacentral:lncRNA from 1 species